rnacentral:rRNA from 1 species
GGCUCGCUACAACUCCGAGCGUAGUAAUUCAUUAUCUCGCUAGGGAGGUUGCGGCGUGCUCCUGCCGUUAAAGACCCAUCUUUAACCAAGGUUGACCUCGGAUCAGGUAGGAAUACCCGCUGAACUUAAGCAUAUCAAUAAGCGGAGGAAAAGAAACCAACAGGGAUUGCCCUAGUAACGGCGAGUGAAGCGGCAACAGCUCAAAUUUGAAAUCUGGCUUCGGCCCGAGUUGUAAUUUGUAGAGGAUGCUUUUGGUGAGGUGCCUUCUGAGUUCCCUGGAACGGGACGCCAGAGAGGGUGAGAGCCCCGUAUAGUCGGCCACCGAUCCUUUGUAAAGCUCCUUCGACGAGUCGAGUAGUUUGGGAAUGCUGCUCAAAAUGGGAGGUAUAUCUCUUCUAAAGCUAAAUAUAGGCCAGAGACCGAUAGCGCACAAGUAGAGUGAUCGAAAGAUGAAAAGCACUUUGAAAAGAGGGUUAAAUAGCACGUGAAAUUGUUGAAAGGGAAGCGCUUGUGACCAGACUUGUGCCGGGCUGAUCAUCCAGUGUUCUCACUGGUGCACUCGACCCGGCUCAGGCCAGCGUCGGUUUUCGCGGGGGGAUAAAAGCUUCGGGAACGUGGSMMCUUCGGGUGUGUUAUAGCCCGUUGCUUAAUMCUCCGUGGGGACCGAGG